rnacentral:misc_RNA from 1 species
CAUUACACAAUAAACAUAUGAAGGCUGCACCGCCAACAGGCGGCAAGGCUGGAGUAUUUUAUUACCCUUGUCUUUUGCGCACUUGUUGUUUCCUGGGCGGGUUCGCCCGCCUCCAGGACCACAUGAUAAACCUUUUUUAUGCAGUUGCAAUCAGCGUCAGUACAACAAAUGUAAAUCAUUUACAACUUUCAACAACGGAUCUCUUGGUUCUGGCAUCGAUGAAGAACGCAGCGAAAUGCGAUACGUAGUGUGAAUUGCAGAAUUCAGUGAAUCAUCGAAUCUUUGAACGCACAUUGCGCCCUUUGGUAUUCCAAAGGGCAUGCCUGUUCGAGCGUCAUUUGUACCCUCAAGCUUUGCUUGGUGUUGGGCGUUUUUUGUCUUUGGUUUUGUCCAAAGACUCGCCUUAAAACGAUUGGCAGCCGGCCUACUGGUUUCGCAGCGCAGCACAUUUUUGCGCUUGCAAUCAGCAAAAGAGGACGGCACUCCAUCAAGACUCUAUAUCACUUUUGACCUCGGAUCAGGUAGGGAUACCCGCUGAACUUAAGCAUAUCAAUAA